rnacentral:rRNA from 1 species
AGAGAACUUUCCAGAGAUGGAUUGGUGCCUUCGGGAACUCUGAGACAGGUGCUGCAUGGCUGUCGUCAGCUCGUGUUGUGAAAUGUUGGGUUAAGUCCCGCAACGAGCGCAACCCUUAUCCUUUGUUGCCAGCGGUCCGGCCGGGAACUCAAAGGAGACUGCCAGUGAUAAACUGGAGGAAGGUGGGGAUGACGUCAAGUCAUCAUGGCCCUUACGAGUAGGGCUACACACGUGCUACAAUGGCGCAUACAAAGAGAAGCGACCUCGCGAGAGCAAGCGGACCUCAUAAAGUGCGUCGUAGUCCGGAUUGGAGUCUGCAACUCGACUCCAUGAAGUCGGAAUCGCUAGUAAUCGUGGAUCAGAAUGCCACGGUGAAUACGUUCCCGGGCCUUGUACACACCGCCCGUCACACCAUGGGAGUGGGUUGCAAAAGAAGUAGGUAGCUUAACCUUCGGGAGGGCGCUUACCACUUUGUGAUUCAUGACUGGGGUGAAGUCGUAACAAGGUAGGCGUAGUGCU